UUAACGCAAAAAUAAUUCCUUCUAAGGCUGAGACACUGUGGUGAAGGAAACAGUCUGGUACUUCAUUGGAAAUACGUGACAAGUUAGAAGUGGUCCCACAGAGAAAAAUAACAAACAAACAAACAAACGAAAAAAACAUUAGAUCAAAUUUCCCCAAAAAUCUACGAGGAGAGCAUAGGAGAAACAUCGGUUUCAUCGACACGACCAACACCUGAUACCAAAAGCCUAUGGGGACGUUAGCAGGCCGCUAACACCAAACAGCUAGCUUUGCUAACUACCACGAUUAAGCUGGGACCAUUGAUAAAUUGGUCGCUUUGGUUCCGAGAAACCCUGAUUUCCUUGGACAAGGAAAAAAGAGGGUUACCGUGUUUCCCAGAGUCGGGGAUCUACAGCAACGUUUGGAUGCAAAGUUCGCUAAUCCCUAAAACUGGAGGACCACGACUGGCAGAGGAAAGGCGCACUUUUGCGGGAAUGACGACAGAGAAAAUUAAGGAGCGCAACAAUACAGUUAUUGCACUGCGCCAAUGGACCAUUGCGCCAGUGCAGAUAAAAACGCAUGUCGAAGAAACUAAGAAAGACUGACAAAGAACCGAAGAAUUCAUGUGACCAGUGUCAGGGAGUAAUUUUCCCCCUAAAACAGUGUGUAUACACAGCACCAGCAGAUGAGGCGAAAUGCAGUUCUUCAAAAUCGGAGAUCUUGUAUAAGAAAUGCCGGGAAAAAAAGCGGAGGUUUCACACUUUUCUCUGCGUACUGCUGGGCCCCACUCCGGAUCAGGUCUUUUGCCACUGACUUUGAUGUCUUAAGGAGGUCAAGGAUCCUUAGGACGUGUGCUGUGCAGAUCGUUCUUGAACCCAAACCUCUGUGAUCAGCCGCCCACUGGGAACACUGAUGUGAGGCGUCUGGCGAGAGCCUUUCCCUUGGCCCCGAACAGGACUUAAAAGGACACAACUGCCCUGGUGUGCACUCUGUUUCGGUCCUGACUACACAGCAGCCACAGAGGGAAGGUUCCCACUGGGAGAAUGAGCACUGGAAGCACAUCUGUCCGUGGAGUCAGACGGGUGGGAUGGGAUCUGCUGCUGUGGCUCACAUGGGAAACAUGUCAAUGAAUCCACUAAAUGCACCUCUAAUUCUCAUCUUCAGGAUUGGGUGUGAUGUGAAACUAGACAAGUAAAA